rnacentral:tRNA from 1 species
AAAUUUAGGUUAACCAUAAACCAAGGACCUUCAAAGCCCUAAAUAGAUCACCACCUAAUUUCUG